GCAGUCCUAGCUCAAUUGGUAGAGCACUGUCCUUCCAAGUCAGAUGUUACGGGUUCGAGUCCCGUGGGCUGCU
rnacentral:tRNA from 1 species